ensembl:lncRNA
GAAAUUACUUGAUUCAUUUGGGUGAAGAUGCUUCUUUUGGGGGUGGUGUGCUGCUUUGUCCCAUACCCAGACCACCAUAGCUUGGAGCCUGGAGGAUGAUUGGGAAAGGAGGACCUGAUGCUGCUGAGUGCCUUUCUGAGGGUUUAAGGCCUGGCUGUGCUGAGAGGUAUUAGCGUCUCCUUCAGCAAAGCCCUGCCAGCUUUGUCCUUCGUGAGGUUUGGCUUCAUGGGUGCUUUUAAGAAAGAGUUUUGUUCCCUCUUUACCAAAGGGCUGAAGGUGAUGCCUGUGUGCAGGUGCCCUUGUAUGGUUCUUUGGAGCAAAAUCGUGAUUGCCUGAGUCACUGUACCUGAUGCAUCUGGAACGGACUGUGUUGCCUUGCCUUGCUAUGGUUUUAUUUCAGUGGUUCAAGUUGUCUUAGAUCUUGUGAAAUAGUGUGCCUUUGAUUUAGUGCAUCUUCAAUGCUGUUUCAUGUGCUAUUUGGUAUAACGUAGCUCUAGCACAGCAUGGAAAUUGGUGUAUCUCAAGUACUUAGGUAUGAGUCUGAACUACCUCCCUGUGAAAUCAAAGGAGGAGUUUCCAGGGCACUGCUCUUGGUGGGGUUCAUCCUUCAGGCUCUUACCUCUGCCAGGGCUGGUGCUCUCUGAAUUCUUAUGGUUAAGCCAUACACAGCUCUGGUAUUUUGGAGGUGACGGAGGGGAGCCUUUGCAUCACACUGAAGAAGCUCCCCAAGGAUUUGGGUUAUGACAGUUUGUUGCCUGAUGGGAUACAAACCUUUCUGUAAUCCCAGGCUAUUUGGAUUACUCAAUUCUAACCUGAGAUGCUUUUUUCUGCUGCUUUUUGGCAACGGUUUAAUCAGGGAAUCCAGGGACUAUGAGGUGUCUGGGUGCUCCCAGGUGAAGAUGCUGCCUUUGCAGGAGAGCUUGUGCCUCUCCAGAAGUAAAUUUUGAUUUAGCACUGAACUUGAAGGUUUUUCUUUGCUCUCAGUGAGAAGGGACAGUGUCAUAAAAAUGAAAGCCUCUUGUUUUUUGAAGGUGAUUCAUGCAAACACCAUUUGUAAUUAUUCUUGGUCUGAUGGUCAGCGUAACUGUGUGUGAUGCUGCAUUUGUUAUCAUACGCUGAGUUGUGAUGGCAAAGAGGAGGCACAAACUCUCAAAAAAGCAGAGCAGUCUUACUUCAUACAACUAGCUCUUACUCUUUUUCCUCUGAUCAUUUGUACUUCAGAUUCCCUUGGAUGGCCAAGCCCUGGCACAGCAGAUGUAAUAAACACUUUCUCCUGAUUGAAAUG